ensembl:snRNA U6 U6 spliceosomal RNA
AGAUUAGGCUGGACUAUAAGACAUGAAAUUGGAAUGAUACAGAGAAGAUCAGCACAGCCCCUGUGCAAGGAUGACACGCAAAUUUGUGAAGUGUUCCAUUUUUUU